CGUUGUUCGGAAUUACUGGGCGUAAAGCGCGCGUAGGCGGACCUGCAAGUCGGGUGUGAAAGCCCGAGGCUCAACCUCGGAACUGCCUUCGAUACUGCGGGUCUCGAGUCCGGGAGAGGUGAGUGGAAUUCCUAGUGUAGAGGUGAAAUUCGUAGAUAUUAGGAAGAACACCAGUGGCGAAGGCGGCUCACUGGCACGGUACUGACGCUGAGGCGCGAAAGCGUGGGGAGCAAACAGG
rnacentral:rRNA from 1 species